UGAGGAAUAUUGGUCAAUGGGCGAGAGCCUGAACCAGCCAAGUAGCGUGCAGGAUGACGGCCCUAUGGGUUGUAAACUGCUUUUAUAUGGGAAUAAAGUGAGGGACGUGUCCCUUAUUGCAUGUACCAUACGAAUAAGGACCGGCUAAUUACGUGCCAGCAGCCGCGGUAAUACGGAAGGUCCAGGCGUUAUCCGGAUUUAUUGGGUUUAAAGGGAGCGUAGGCUGUUUGUUAAGCGUGUUGUGAAAUGUAAGAGCUCAACUUUUAGAUUGCAGCGCGAACUGGCAGACUUGAGUGCGCACAACGUAGGCGGAAUUCAUGGUGUAGCGGUGAAAUGCUUAGAUAUCAUGAAGAACUCCGAUUGCGAAGGCAGCUUACGUGAGCGCAACUGACGCUGAAGCUCGAAGGUGCGGGUAUCGAACAGG
rnacentral:rRNA from 1 species